rnacentral:rRNA from 1 species
AUUGAACGCUGGCGGCAGGCCUAACACAUGCAAGUCGAGCGGAUGAAGGGAGCUUGCUCCUGGAUUCAGCGGCGGACGGGUGAGUAAUGCCUAUGAAUCUGCCUGGUAGUGUGGGAUAACGUCCGGAAACGGGCGCUAAUACCGCAUACGUCCUGAGGGAGAAAGUGGGUGAUCUUCGGACCUCACGCUAUCAGAUGAGCCUAGGUCGGAUUAGCUAGUUGGUGGGGUAAAGGCCUACCAAGGCGACGAUCCGUAACUGGUCUGAGAGGAUGAUCAGUCACACUGGGACUGAGACACGGUCCAGACUCCUACGGGAGGCAGCAGUGGGGAAUAUUGGACAAUGGGCGAAAGCCUGAUCCAGCCAUGCCGCGUGUGUGAAGAAGGUCUUCGGAUUGUAAAGCACUUUAAGUUGGGAGGAAGGGCAGUAAGUUAAUAACUUGCUGUUUUGACGUUACCAACAGAAUAAGCACCGGCUAACUUCGUG